GGCCUUGUAGCUCAGUUGGUAGAGCGUGCGCGCUGUACAGAAAAAGCGUAGGCGGCGUCCAUGUGUGGUUCGAAUCCCCCCGAGGCUA
rnacentral:tRNA from 1 species